rnacentral:rRNA from 1 species
GGGGAAUAUUGCACAAUGGGCGAAAGCCUGAUGCAGCAACGCCGCGUGAGCGAUGAAGGCCUUUGGGUCGUAAAGCUCUGUCCUAGGGGAAGAAUAAAUGACGGUAGCCAAGGAGGAAGCCCCGGCUAACUACGUGCCAGCAGCCGCGGUAAUACGUAGGGGGCGAGCGUUGUCCGGAUUUACUGGGCGUAAAGGGUGAGUAGGCGGUAAUAUGUGUCAGAUGUAAAAGGCUAUGGCUUAACCAUAGUUAGCAUUUGAAACUGUAUUACUUGAGUGCAGGAGAGGUAAGUGGAAUUCCUAGUGUAGCGGUGAAAUGCGUAGAUAUUAGGAGGAACACCAGUGGCGAAGGCGACUUACUGGACUGUAACUGACGCUGAGUCACGAAAGCGUGGGUAGCAAACA